UUUCAGUUCAAUGGGGACAAAGGAUGUGGGUGAUGCAUAGACAUUGGCAAUCAUGCCUUCACAAUCAGUGCUUGCGGAAAUUUUUGUUUUCUUUAGACGGAGACAGAGUUGAUGAAUUGAGCGCGCUUUACUCUCCAAUCCUUGGUGCGCUGUUCCGAAGUGUGGGCUUAUUUGAUCAACGAGAAGCUUAUCGUUUUGCUGGUUUGCACUUGUCAUUAAGAAACCUUCAACUUAUUAGG